GAUGAACGCUGGCGGCGUGCCUAAUACAUGCAAGUCGAGCGAACAGACGAGGAGCUUGCUCCUCUGACGUUAGCGGCGGACGGGUGAGUAACACGUGGAUAACCUACCUAUAAGACUGGGAUCAUUUCGGGAAACCGGAGCUAAUACCGGAUAAUAUAUUGAACCGUAUGGUUCAAUAGUGAAAGACGGUUUUGCUGUCACUUAUAGAUGGAUCCGCGCCGCAUUAGCUAGUUGGUAAGGUAACGGCUUACCAAGGCAACGAUGCGUAGCCGACCUGAGAGGGUGAUCGGCCACACUGGAACUGAGACACGGUCCAGACUCCUACGGGAGGCAGCAGUAGGGAAUCUUCCGCAAUGGGCGAAAGCCUGACGUAGCAACGCCGCGGGAGUGAUGAAGGUCUUCGGAUCGUAAAACUCUGUUAUUAGGGAAGAACAAAUGUGUAAGUAACUAUGCACGUCUUGACGGUACCUAAUCAGAAAGCCACGGCUAACUACGUG
rnacentral:rRNA from 1 species